rnacentral:rRNA from 1 species
AGUUCCGAUUAUGGCUCCAGAUUGAACGCUGGCAGGAUGCUACACAUGCAAGUCGGAGCAGCAGCACGGACUUCGGUCUGGUGGCGAGUGGCGAACGGGUGAGUAAUGUAUCGGAACGUGCCUAGUAGCGGGGGAUAACUACGCGAAAGCGUAGCUGAAAAUACCGCAUCGCCAUACCAGGAAAGCGGGGACCUUCGGGCCUCGCGCUAUUAGAGCGGCCGAUAUCGGAUUAGCUGGUUGGUGGGGUAACGGCUCACCAAGGCAUUUGAUCCGUAGCUGGUUUGAGAGGACGUUAAGCCCACGCUGGGACUGAGACACGGCCAGACUCCUGGGAGGCAGCAGUGGGGAAUUUUGGACAAUGGAAACCUGAUCAGCCAUCCCGCGUGUGCGAUAAAGGCGCUUCGGGUUGUAAGCACUUUUGGCAGGAAAGAAACGGCGCAGGAUAAUACCCGUGCAACUGACGAACACCUGCAGAAUAAGCACCGGCUAACUACAUUACCAGCAGCCGCGGUAAUACGUAGAAGUGCAAGCGUUAAUCGGAAUUACUGGGCGUAAAGCGUGCGCGAGCGGUUCGGAAGAGAUCUUGAAAUCCCAGAGCUUAACUUUGGGGCACAUUUCAACACAGAGCUAGGAGAGUGUGUCAGAGGAGGUGGAAUUCGCGUGUGGCAGUGAAAUGCGUAGAUGCGGAGGAACACCGAUGGCGAAACAGCCUCCUGGGAUACUGACGCUCAUGCACACGAAAGCGUGGAGCAAACAGGAUUAGAUACCCUGGUAGUCCACGCCCUAAACGAUGUCAACUAGCUGUUUGGGGCCUUCGGCCUUGGUAGCGCAGCUAACGCGUAUGAAGUUGACCGCCUGGGGAGUACGGUCGCAAGAUUAAAACUCGAAGAUUGACGGGGACCCGCACAAGCGGUGGAUGAUGUGGAUUAAUUCGAUGCAACGCGAAAAGCCUUACCUACCCUUGACAUGUCUGGAAUCCCGAAGAGAUUUGGGAGUGCUCGCAAGAAGACGGAACACAGGUGCUGCAUGGCUGUCGUCAGCUCGUGUCGUGAGAUGUUGGGUUAAGUCCCGCAACGAGCGCAACCCUUGUCAUUGGUUGCUACGAAAGGAGACAUCUAAUGAGACUGCCGGUGACAAACCGGAGGAAGGUGGGGAUGACGUCAAGUCCUCAUGGCCCUUAUGGGUAGGGCUUCACACGUCAUACAAUGGUCGGGACAGAGGGUCGCCAACCCGCGAGGGGGAACCAAUCCCAGAAACCCGAUCGUGGUCCGGAUCUGAUCUGCAACUCGACUGCGUGAAGUCGGAAUCGCUGAAGUAAUCGCGGAUCAGCAUGUCGCGGUGAAUACGUUCCCGGGUCUUGUACGCACCGCCCGUCACACCAUAGAGUGGGUUUUACCAGAAGUAGUUAGCCUAACCGUAUGAGGGGCGAUUACCACGGUAGGAUUCAUGACUGGGGUGAAGUCGUAACAAAGGUAA